rnacentral:lncRNA from 1 species
UUGGAACUCUCAAGAAAACCCUAAAACAAGACUUUAAAUAGUUCAGCCUAAAUAAGGAAACAAAAUCACAGAGUUUAAUAAUCCCUCGAAUUAGGUGACGACAUUUGUGACAACCUAUCAGGAGGCUAACGACUUAUCACAAAUGUCGUCAGCUCCUCUUUGUUUUUUAUACUCGCUGCUUUAGGCUGAAGACAAACUGUGACGUCCUAUCAACUUCUUGAUGACUUAUCACGAAUGUCGUCAAGUUUCUACCUCCUCUCUCAUGUUCUGCCUUAGGCUGACGGCAAUUUUGACGACCUAUCAGCUCCUUGACGGCUUAUCACAAAAUGUCGUCAUAACUCUAAACUCAGGUGCAUUUUCUUUCUGAGGCUGACGAUGAAGCUGAUAACUUAUCACAGGGCUGACGACUUAUCAGAAAUAUCGUCAGCCAUACUUCUCUUUCAAUUACUUUAGAUUUUAACUCCUUUGCUUCCAUCCUUGUUGGUUCUCUUGCAUCAUAGCUUCUAUUGUAAAAUCAAACAUAAAACAAUAAAAAACGACAAAAGUUGCUUAAGACUUUGCAGUUAUUCUUAGUUAAAAUCCUCAAAUAUGUUAGCAUUAGCUCACACAUCAACACCCUCAACUUAAAGCAAUUGUUUGUCCUCAAGCAACUCAACACAACUAAGAGAAUACAAAGUACAUUUGACAGUCAAUCAUCUAUAUCAUCUCAAAACACUUUCACCCUCUCCAAGGUCAGUCAAUUCAAGAACAAUGAAGAAUACCAAUGCAACAUACAGAAAUCAAUAUACGACAUUAAUUCAGCUACAUUAACCAUGCACCAGUAUUACACUCUCCAAUCAAGUUAGCAACUAGCAACAUAUCUGGUGUGCCCUCACAACAAAGAAAUCCCCCUUAUCUCAUAUCAGUAAUCCUAUACGUAACCAUGGGGACAAUCAAAACACUCACUCUCAGAAUAAAGUUCCAACCAAUGUAUGCCAAGUACCAUAGGCUAGCCCUUAUUUUUAAUACCCAAAUCUUCAGAUAGGUCAGCUAGGAUCACUAUAGGUCCUCUCUUAAGCUUGUGAUGUAGGUUAGGGGCUAGUAUGAUACUCGAUGGUAUUUAAAGUGACUAAGCCUCCUUGAUACUACACUAGCUUUUUGGGGUUUCACUUAUUAGCCUUUUCCACUCUUCUCUUUUACUGAUCACACUUAUUUAGGCUGGGUAUGGUUUUUUCCACAAUCACUUAUUCUUUUUCACAAUUUUUUUUCUUGCUCUUUUCCUCCGCACCCAACUUUUUUUUAUUCUUUUCUUUUAUGCUACCUCUCUUUAUACUCAUUCUGUAUCACGCACCCCUAUGAUAGCCACCCUCAACUUAGGCUAUUUGCCUAAGCCAAGGUGCACAGUAUCCAAGGAGGAUCAGGGCCAAAACAGGUUCAUUGUGAUCUAAAUGGGAAGAUGACAGGUGUCAUAAAAAGAAAUAGGUUAAUCAGGCUCAAAACAGGGAUCAAGGGGUAUUAUGGACAUAGGGAAGGUUAUUUAGGCUAAAAUGAGCUCAUAACCUCUAUCCUUCAACCCAAGUAAGACUAAUUGGGCAAGUUCUGGCUUCAGUAUACAGAUGGAACUAAGUAACAUCUCACACACACUUGGCACACAAAUAUAUCGCAAUCUACUACUCAUUCAGCUCAUGCAGCUGUUUAGCAAUGAUUAUUGUGUUACUAUAACUAAUGCCAUACAAAGAUGCACAGUGGUCACACUUAAAUGCAAAUCACACAGUUAAAGAAGUAGACCACUUGAAGAGGUGUACAAAAAUCACAAAACAAUUCAACGGCCUCAAGUACAAGUAUUUUUCGAAGUCGGCUACAAAAUUUUACAACAACAAUUUACCCUACACCCUCAACUUAAAAUCAAAGAAAAUCUAAAGUUAGGAUUAGAGUAUACUUGGAAUAGAUCAAUCCCGAGGGUCAUGGGUUUUCUCCCAUGCAGCGCCUUAUUUAACAUCGUGGCACGACUCAGGUAUCUCGAUUACUUCAGACUUCAUCGAGACAGAUAGUAGUAAUACUUUUCAUUGAUUCUUUUGGACCAAUAUAAAGUUUGACUCAUUGCCCAUUUACUUGGAAGGUACUGUCGUCUUUAUUUUCAAGUUCCACUACUCUAGAUGAGUAGACUUGACUAACUCUAAAAGGGCCUGACCACUUAGAUUUAAGCUUACGUAGGAACAGUUUAAGUCUGGAAUUGAACAAAAGCACCAAGUCACCCUUUAGAAAGUCUCGUUUCUCUAUCCUCCAAUCAUGGUAUUUUUUCAUAUUUUCUUUAUAUAGGUUUGCUCGUUCAUAUGCCCUGAGACGGAAUUCUUCCAUCUCAUUUAGUUGUCCCAGUCUCAGCUCUACUGCCUCCUUUCAACUCAAAUUCAGCCUUUUAAGUGCCCAAAAGGUGUUGUGCUCCAGCUCUAUUGGUAAGUGGCAAGCUUUUCCAUAGACCUACUGAAAUAGUGAUAUGUCAAUGGGUGUCUUGAAAGUAGUCCGAUAUGCCCACAAGGCAUCAUAAAGCUUUCGAGAUUAAUUUUUCUAACUAGCAUUCACCAUUUUGGCUAGAAUGGCUUUAAUCUCUCGAUUUGACACCUCCUGUUAAUCCUCAUAAUACACAUCAACUACUGAGAAGACACUCAUUUCUUCCUGCUGCUUUAUUGAUUCACACAUCAAACUGUACCACUUCAUCAUUCAUCCUGAAUAAGAGCUAAUUCGCUCUCAAAUCAAUCAACACACUUUCGAUUGCAAGAAAAGGUCGACCCAAGAUUAUGGUCACCUCAAACUCUACCUCGCAAUCCAGAAUGAUGAAAUCUGCAGGGAAUAUAAAGCUAGCUACCUUCACUAACACAUCAUACAAAAUGCCAACAGGUCAUUUUACUGACCUAUCCACUAUUAUGAGUAGCAUGUUGGUGGGUGUGGGAUUUCCCAGACCCAACUUCUUAUAUACAGCCAACGGCAUCAAAUUAAUGCUUGCUCCCAAAUACAUAAUGCCUUGGCGAAUUUCAUAGUCCCAAUUGUACAGGGAAUAGUGAAUGUGCCUGGGUCUGGCUUCUUCAACACCAAGGUCCUUGUAGAAAUAUCGCUACAAUGAUGGAGAUUAUCCUCCAAUUCGUAGCUCACUGCUCUUCUCUUAGUUAUAAGGUCCAUUAUAAAUUUAGCAUAUCCUGGCAUUUGUUCGAGGGCCUCCACCAAUGGCACAUUUAUUGUCAACUUCUUGAGCAUUGCCAUGAAUUUUUUGAAUUUUGCAUCAUCAGUUUUUUUCUUCAACCACUGAGGAAAGGGAGGUGGUGGUCUUGGGAUAGUUUUCAACACUACCUCCUUUUCCUUUUCUUUCUCUUUUUCCGGAGCAUCAUCAGAAUUAUCUAACUUCCCAGACUCCACUGGACCUCCUUCUUCCGGUUCAUCAUCAACUACAUGUUUUCCCACAGAAGGGACAGGUAAUAUCUCACCACUUCUAGUAGUAAUCGCCAUACAUGAGCCAUUAUUCUACAAAUUUUGGACCGUAUCACUUGGUAACGUUUCGCUCUUCCUUUGGUUGAAUGUUGCAGAGAGUUGGCUCAUCUGCUGCUCCAACUGUUUGAUUGCGGUAGAGUGCGAGUUUACCAACUGACUAAUAGAUGAUAGAUCAGUCUUCAUAGUAGUCACACCAGAGUUGGUAGCUUCUACUCCCUUAAAAAACUUAGCCAUCAUGUCUUCCACGGACAUCUUUUUAGAACUUGUUGUAGUAGCCUCACAAUUUCCAAGAGGGACAUAGAGCUCGCUCCUAUCAUUAUUGUUCCUUCAAUUUCCCUGCUUUCGAUUUUUAUAACCAGGCUUAUCAUAAUAAUUGCAACCUUGAUUCCUUUGGACAUUGCCUCGGAAACCCCCUUGAUUAUUAACAUAGUUUACCUCUUCUUCUGCAUCAGUAUUAACUCUAUCCUGAGAUCCCACAACUUUCACCUUCUCAGUCUUACCUGAUAGCAAUUGCUUGGUUAGCAAGUCCAUCUGCGUUUUAAGGUGAGCCAUGUCUUGGUCACACUCCUCAUCUCUUCUGCGUUGUUCUGCAGUAAUACCCCAGACACAGUGGGGUUAGCUACCACAGAGUCUCUGGUAUGCAUGCCCAACGCUGUUUGGUCAUUCUUUCUAGUAUCUAUGAAGCCUCUGGGAAUGUAAGAUCAACAAAUGAACCACCAGUAGCAUUAUCUAUAAUUAACUUUGUCACAGAGUUAAGAGCAUUGUACAAAGUCUCCAUCAAGUGUAUGUCUGUCAUAUUAUGGUUCGGACACUGUGUCAGCUUCUUCUUGAAUUUUUCCCAGGUUUCAUACAAGGCUUCAGUUGGGAGCUACCUAAAGUUGCCGAUCUCAUCCCUCAACGGUACCCUCCUGGAAGGCGGAAAGAACCUUUCUAGGAAACCUUCUUUCAACUGCCUUCAGUUGGUUAUAGAAUCGGGUGUCAGCUCAUUUAGCCACAAAUUUUCCUCCCCAAACAGAGACAACAAAAACAAUCUCAAUCAGAUAGUAUUCUGGCCCACUCCUGGGUUAUCAAAAGAUUUACAGAUGGUGAUAAAAUUCACUAGAUACAAGUUUGGGUCAUCCUCAGGAAGGACACGAAACAACCCCUUCAGAUUGAGGAGUUGAAUCAUAGUACUCGUAAUGUUGAAUUUAGCCCCAGGUGCCAACGGUGGAGGAAUGAUUGUACCCAUUGCACCUGCUCCGUCCAUUCCAUCAUCAUCAUCAUUGAUGUCAUACUGGACCGGCUGGUACUCUUGCUUUUCUCGGAACGGACGAUUCCUGUUAACAUUAUGUUGUACUGGUGCAGCUACUUGCUCUGCAUGCCUUGGGUUACCCAGGAUUUAGCAACUCCUCGUCUCCCAAAUCUUCAUCCUCAGGAUUUUGAUGUCGUGCUUGUUGAUCGACAUUUUGCACAUUCAACUGAGCUCUAGCUAAGGCUACCAAUCUAUCAGCCUCUUGUUGUUCUGCCAUUCUUCCAAUUCAUUGCAGUUCUGGAUUAAGUGGUAAUAAUGGUUCUCUGGAACUUCUGGUGCUUGGCAUAUACUACAAAGAUCCUGUAAUAAAAAAAACAACAAAUAAACGUAAAACUAGGAAACUUGACUAACAGUCAAUUAGUGCACCCAACUUCAAUUUACAACCGUAUUCUCCGGCAACAGCGCCAUUUUUGAUAACUCUCAAACUACACCUCUCUAAUGAGAAUGUAAGCGAUCGUUGUAAAUAUAAAACUCAACUAGGUUGGGGUCGAAUCCCACAGGUAAUAUGGUGCGAACUUAAGUCAUUUGCAAUUUAAUCAACUGAUAGCUGGAUGUUUCCUGAAAUGGGGUUUAGCAAGUAAUUGUUGGUCACUUUAGUUACAGUGUUCGUAAUCAAGAGUUUACGAAAAAAUCAAAAUUAUGUUUACUAGGAGUUUUGGUACUUGACAGAUGCUAAUGGUGGUUCAAGAUUCUCAUAGUAGGUAGGACAACAAGUUAUCUUUAUCGAAGUUAUGCCUAAAUGUCUCUCGACCUACUUAAGCAUUUAAUUACCUAAUACUCUCGAACUUAGAGAAUUUAUAUUCAUGACUAGAUUUUACCACAGGUUAAUCAACCUUGUUACAACGUCAAUUAUUAAAUAGAAGUUUUUAGUGCGUCCAAGUCCCUGUUAAUAAUUCACUUCCCACUAUAUUUGAUUUCUUUCUCAAGCAAAUCAAAGUAGGUGUUAUCUAUCGUUUGCAACCAAUAGAGGAUAAUUAAAAUCUCAGAAUUAUCAAGGAGUCCUACCACCUUUUGAAUCUUGAACACUCAACACCUUAUCAAGACUUAACCCUAGAUCCCAUAAUUCAGGUUAAAGGAAUCUAGCCGCUCAUGAUGUAAUAAUCAAAACAACUAGUUAUAUUCAUGAUUUGAAAGAUAAACUUACCAUAAGAUGAAUAAAAACUAGAGAUUCUUAGAUUAGAUCACAAUAGUAAUCCCAAUAUAAUGAUAAUAAUCUCUUCAAAGUAAUUGUUUGUUCAAGUCAAGAAACUAGAGACAGAAAAUAUCAAAAAUACGUGUCUUCAAAAGAUAUUUGGAACUCUCAAGAAAAUCCUAAAACAAGACUUUAAAUAGUUCAGCCUAAAUAACGAAACAAAAUCACAGAGUUUAAUAAUCCCUCGAAUUAGGUGACGACAUUCGUGACAACCUAUCAGGAGGCUGACGACUUAUCACAAAUGUCGUCAGCUUUUUUUGCUUUUGAUACUCGCUGCUUUAGGAUGACGACAAACUGUGACGUCCUAUAAACUUCUUGAUGACUUAUCACGAAUGUCGUCAAGUCUCUACCUUAGCUCCCAUGUUCUGCCUUAGGCUGACGGCAAUUUUGACGACCUAUCAGCUCCUUGACGGCUUAUCACAAAAUAUCGUCACAACUCUCAACUCAGGUGCAUUCUCUAUCUGAGGCUGAAGAUGAAGCUGAUAACUAAUCAUAGGGCUGACGACUUAACAAAAAUAUCGUCAGCCACACUUCUCUUUGAAUUACUUCAGAUUUCAACUCUUUUGCUUC